rnacentral:rRNA from 1 species
GAUGAACGCUGGCGGCGUGCCUAAUACAUGCCAGUCGAGCGAACAGAUGAGGAGCUUGCUCCUCUGACGUUAGCGGCGGACGGGUGAGUAACACGUGGAUAACCUACCUACAAGACUGGGAUAACUUCGGGAAACCGGAGCUAAUACCGGAUAAUAUAUUGAACCGCAUGGUUCAAUAGUGAAAGACGGUUUUGCUGUCACUUAUAGAUGGAUCCGCGCCGCAUUAGCUAGUUGGUAAGGUAACGGCUUACCAAGGCAACGAUGCGUAGCCGACCUGAGAGGGGGAUCGGCCACACUGGAACUGAGACACGGUCCAGACUCCUACGGGAGGCAGCAGUAGGGAAUCUUCCGCAAUGGGCGAAAGCCUGACGGAGCAACGCCGCGUGAGUGAUGAAGGUCUUCGGAUCGUAAAACUCUGUUAUUAGGGAAGAACAAAUGUGUAAGUAACUAUGCACGUCUUGACGGUACCUAAUCAGAAAGCCACGGCUAACUACGUG